GGAGGCGUAUCGAAGUGGUCAUAACGAGCCUGACUCGAAAUCAGGUUGUCCUCACGGGCACGUGAGUUCGAAUCUCACCGCCUCCGCCA
rnacentral:tRNA from 14 species